rnacentral:sRNA from 1 species
AAAUAUAUUAAGAAAAAACUUUUUAAGCGAUAAUCUAGUGUUAUCGCUUUUUCUGUGUUAUACUUCUAAUUGUAGUUUUUGUACGGUAAUAUUGGCAAGUUUGUUUCAGACGACAUCUUUCCUAUUUCACCAUUCAAGUAAUUACAAAAUUAAUUUUUAUCCUAGGAGGAUGUUUAACAUGGAACAAGGUACAGUAAAAUGGUUUAACUCAGAAAAAGGUUACGGAUUUAUCACUGCUGAAAACGGAAACGACGUAUUCGUACAUUUCUCAGCAAUCCAAGGCGACGGCUUCAAAACUUUAGAAGAAGGUCAAGCAGUGACUUUCGAUGUUGAAGAUGGCCAACGUGGACCUCAAGCAACAAACGUAAACAAAGCUUAAUUAGUUUUUUCAAACGAGUGCUUCGGUACUCGUUUUUUU